rnacentral:rRNA from 1 species
GACGUAGGGCGCAAGCGUUGUCCGGAAUUAUUGGGCGUAAAGAGCUCAUAGCGGUCUGUUGCGUCCGCUGUGAAAACUCGGGGCUUAACCCCGAGCCUGCAGUGGAUACGGGCAGGCUAGAGGUAGGUAGGGGAGAAUGGAAUUCCCGGUGUAGCGGUGAAAUGCGCAGAUAUCAGGAAGAACACCCGUGGCGAAGGCGGCUCUCUGGGACGGUACUGACGCUGAGACGCGAAAGCGUGGGGAGCGAACAGG